rnacentral:lncRNA from 1 species
GCGGGAGGAGGCAUCAGUCGCAGCACAGCACUCAGCCAGCAGCUAUGAAGGUCGUCGCUCUCCUGCUUGUGGUCUGCGCCUCCGUGGCCUGGGCGAAGCCCCUCUGCAUCGGAGGCAUCUGCAUUCCUAGCAGUCAGGCCACUGGAGGGGCUGCGGGCACCGUCACCAGUGGCACCAGCAAUACAUUUGGUGGCACCAGCAAGGUUACGUCCGUCGGCUCCUCUGCAGGGGGAUCCGCCAGCGGGCCGUGUGCGAGCAGCACCAACCUCGCACAUGCAUCCAACAAAAACAAACAGGGACUGCUGGGCAAUGCGGAAUCAAGCGACACCGGAGCCGUCUCGAACCAGAACACCGGCUGCUAAAUGACUCAGUCGCAGUCAUCUCGGCAUGCGUCGCAAUGGCACAUGUGAAACGCUUGUUACGUCGACAGACGUUGUGAUAUCGGGCGUCGGUUGUGAUAUGGGAGCGAAAUGUGCAAUACAGGCUCAUCCCCGACAUGAUUGA